AUUGAACGCUGGCGGCAGGCCUAACACAUGCAAGUCGAACGAGUGGCGGACGGGUGAGUAAUGUCUGGGAACCUGCCUGAUGGAGGGGGAUAACUCCUGGAAACGGUAGCUACUACCGCAUACCAUGCGUUGGGCCCAGAUGGGAUUCGUUAGAAGGUGGGUGAAAGGCUCCCCUAGGCGACGCUCCCUAGCUGGUCUGAGAGGAUGACAAGCCACACGGGAACUGAGACACGGUCCAUACUCCUACGGGAGGCAGCAGUGGGGAAUAUGGCACAAUGGGCGCAAGCCUGAUGCAGCCAUGCCGCGUGGAUGAAGAAGGCCUUCGGGUUGUAAAGUACUUUCAGCGGGGAGGCGUUACCCGCAGAAGAAGCACCGGCUAACUCCGUGCCAGCAGCCGCGGUAAUUC
rnacentral:rRNA from 1 species